rfam:Erinaceus europaeus unplaced genomic scaffold scaffold00087, whole genome shotgun sequence
CUGUUCUGAACCAGAAGGAUCCCUUGGGAGUCCUCAGGAGGGGGGCCUGGGCUAAGGGCCGGGGGGCUCCACCAGCAACUCACUGGCGGUUCUGAGGCGCAGGGCGGGUUUC